CCGGCCGGUGCCUAUACUGCAAGUCGAACGAGCUUCCGUUGAAUGACGUGCUUGCACUGAUUUUAACAAUGAAGCGAGUGGCGAACUGGUGAGUAACACGUGGGAAAUCUGCCCAGAAGCAGGGGAUAACACUUGGAAACAGGUGCUAAUACCGUAUAACAACAAAAUCCGCAUGGAUUUUGUUUGAAAGGUGGCUUCGGCUAUCACUUCUGGAUGAUCCCGCGGCGUAUUAGUUAGUUGGUGAGGUAAAGGCCCACCAAGACGAUGAUACGUAGCCGACCUGAGAGGGUAAUCGGCCACAUUGGGACUGAGACACGGCCCAAACUCCUACGGGAGGCAGCAGUAGGGAAUCUUCCACAAUGGACGAAAGUCUGAUGGAGCAAUGCCGCGUGAGUGAAGAAGGGUUUCGGCUCGUAAAACUCUGUUGUUAAAGAAGAACACCUUUGAGAGUAACUGUUCAAGGGUUGACGGUAUUUAACCAGAAAGCCACGGCUAACUACGUGCCAGCAGCCGCGGUAAUACGUAGGUGGCAAGCGUUGUCCGGAUUUAUUGGGCGUAAAGCGAGCGCAGGCGGUUUUUUAAGUCUGAUGUGAAAGCCUUCGGCUUAACCGGAGAAGUGCAUCGGAAACUGGGAGACUUGAGUGCAGAAGAGGACAGUGGAACUCCAUGUGUAGCGGUGGAAUGCGUAGAUAUAUGGAAGAACACCAGUGGCGAAGGCGGCUGUCUAGUCUGUAACUGACGCUGAGGCUCGAAAGCAUGGGUAGCGAACAGGAUUAGAUACCCUGGUAGUCCAUGCCGUAAACGAUGAGUGCUAAGUGUUGGAGGGUUUCCGCCCUUCAGUGCUGCAGCUAACGCAUUAAGCACUCCGCCUGGGGAGUACGACCGCAAGGUUGAAACUCAAAGGAAUUGACGGGGGCCCGCACAAGCGGUGGAGCAUGUGGUUAAUUCG
rnacentral:rRNA from 1 species